rnacentral:sRNA from 1 species
CCCUGCCCCAGAUUGCAGUGGAAAGCUUUUAUUGAAGAAAGCUAGUUGUUGUAAGGCUGAAAAAGCGACUAGCGGAAGCUCUUUUUGGACUUAACAAAAACAGCUUUGUGAAAUAAAACUUGGAACGAAAAGCUGGAUUAGGC